rnacentral:rRNA from 1 species
CAUAUCAAUAAGCGGAGGAAAAGAAACUAACAAGGAUUCCCCUAGUAACUGCGAGUGAAGCGGGAAAAGCUCAAAUUUAAAAUCUGGCAGUCUUUGGCUGUCCGAGUUGUAAUCUAGAGAAGUGUUAUCCGCGUUGGACCGUGUACAAGUCUCCUGGAAUGGAGCGUCAUAGAGGGUGAGAAUCCCGUCUUUGACACGGACUGCCAGGGCUUUGUGAUGCGCUCUCAAAGAGUCGAGUUGUUUGGGAAUGCAGCUCAAAAUGGGUGGUAAAUUCCAUCUAAAGCUAAAUAUUGGCGAGAGACCGAUAGCGAACAAGUACCGUGAGGGAAAGAUGAAAAGAACUUUGGAAAGAGAGUUAAACAGUACGUGAAAUUGCUGAAAGGGAAACGCUUGAAGUCAGUCACRUUGGUCAGGAAUCAACCUUGCUUCUGCUUGGUGUAUUUUCUGGUUGAUGGGUCAGCAUCAAUUUUGAUCAUUGGAAAAAGGUCAGGGGAAUGUGGCAUCCUUGGAUGUGUUAUAGCCCUUGAUUGUAUACAAUGGUUGGGAUUGAGGAACUCAGCACGCCGCAAGGCCGGGUUUUUAACCAUGUUCGUGCUUAGGAUGCUGGCAUAAUGGCUUUAAUCGACCCGUCUUGAAACACGGACCAAGGAGUCUAACAUGCCUGCGAGUGUUUGGGUGGAAAACCCGAGCGCGUAAUGAAAGUGAAAGUUGAGAUCCCUGUCAUGGGGAGCAUCGACGCCCGGACCAGACCUUUUGUGACGGUUCCGCGGUAGAGCAUGUAUGUUGGGACCCGAAAGAUGGUGAACUAUGCCUGAAUAGGGUGAAGCCAGAGGAAACUCUGGUGGAGGCUCGUAGCGAUUCUGACGUGCAAAUCGAUCGUCAAAUUUGGGUAUAGGGGCGAAAGACUAAUCGAACCAUCUAGUAGCUGGUUCCUGCC